GCCAGGCACGGUGGCGCAUGCCUGUAAUUCCAGUGGCUUAGGAGGCUGAGGCAGGAGGAUUGCGAGUUCAAAGCCAGCCUCAGCAAAAGAGGUGCUAAGCAACUCAGUGAGACCCUGUCUCUA
rnacentral:sRNA from 1 species